rnacentral:rRNA from 1 species
UACGUAGGGGGCAAGCGUUGUCCGGAAUUAUUGGGCGUAAAGCGCGUGUAGGCGGCUCGGUAAGUCUGCUGUGAAAGUCCAAGGCUCAACCUUGGAAAGCCGGUGGAUACUGUCGAGCUCGAGUCCGGAAGAGGCGAGCGGAAUUCCUGGUGUAGCGGUGAAAUGCGCAGAUAUCAGGAGGAACACCGAUGGCGAAGGCAGCUCGCUGGGACGUGACUGACGCUGAGACGCGAAAGCAUGGGGAGCAAACAGG